CGUGUUCUUUUGUGACUUGUUAAGGUUACCUUGUGAGAGAAUCUUUGGCCACAAACUGAGCAGGAAAAAGGUUUCUCAGCAGUGUGGGUUCUUGAGUGUUUUUGUAAGUCUCGUUGACAAGAGAAUCUUUGACCACAAACUGAGCAGG